CGGGCAUGUGGCUCGCCGGCUGGGCCUGGCGCUCGUGGCGCCGGUUCGUCGCCGCGCUGGUCGCGGCGGUGCUCCUCGGC
rnacentral:tRNA from 1 species